CCCUCUUCAUUUCUUGGAAUGCUGUCAGAAAUGUAGCAUCCCAGGACCCACCCCAGACCCAGUGAAUCAGAAUCUGCAUCUUAACAGGAUACCCAGGUGAUCACAUGUACAUAAAGGUUUAGAGGCACCGACCUGGGGCAUAUGGUGACCUGACAAACUCAGAGGCCUAGGGCUAGAAGUCACAGCCUUGCAAAGCUCAUACAGGUCAUCCUAAAUGGCUUCUGUGUGAAUGGCCUCACUCCCAGCCUGGGGCCAUAUGAAUGAGCCAUGUCUUACACCUGUAACUUUAUUUUUCAAACUCAUGUUAUAUUCUUCUGGAACUUGGGGGUGGUCAGAAAGGAGACAGAGGACAAGGGAGGUGGUUAGAAUUGAAGAUGCAAAGGCAUGUCUGAUCUCAUUUCUCUGCAACUCAGGAAAAGAGGGUAAUAUUUGAGAGCUAAAGUCUACUGAGGCUGCUACAUAGUACUGCAGGACCUUAGACAGAAGUCACUUCACCUUUCUCUACUUCAGUCUUUUCAAGUGUAAAAUAGGGAUAAGUAACAGUACCUACCUUUGAGAGUGUGUUGUAGGAUUAAAGGAACUGACAUUUGUAAAGUGCUUAGAACUGUGUAUUAUGUUAGCAUAUGAUAAUGUAUAGGUAGUGUUAAAUAAAAAUUUAUUAUUUUUAAGUCAUGGCUUUGGUUUCUCCCUGAUAAAGAAACAAAAAUUAAUAGACUAGAUAGUGAAGGGGAAUCACAGAAGAAAAGCAGCUCAACAUAUGUUUACUGAUUCUCUACCCUAUGACAGACAUGCAUAGUUUGUAUCCUCUGGGAUACAAAAAUGAAGAUCCUUGUUUUUGAAAGAGUUCACAGUCUACUGAGGAUUGAGAGCAAAGGCUGUCCCUAAAGACGAUGUCUGAGUUCAAGAUUCCUGUUCCAUUUUUAAAAUCAGCGAUUAGAUAGACUGGCAAGUAUGUGGUUGGCAAUGUCAUAAAAGGAUCUGAAGUCUCAUUUCUCAGUAGUGAAAUUGAGAAAAAUGUCUACUUUAUUAGCUUUGAGCUCCUUAUAUAAGUGCCAACUUCCUAUAUUCGAGGUAAACAGUUUAAAAAGAAAAAAGGGGGCCAGGCACGGUGGCUCAUGCCUGUAACCCCGGCACUUUGGGAGGCCGAGGCGGGUGGAUCACCUCAGGUCAAGAGUUCGAGACCAGCCUGGCCAACGUGGUGAAACCCCAUCUCUACUAAAAAUACAAAAAUUAGCCAGGCGUGGUUGCGUGCACCUGUAGUCCUAGCUACUCGGGAGGCUAAGGCAGGAGAAUUGCUCGAUCCCAGGAGCGGAGGUUGCAGUGAGCUGAGAUUGUGCCACUGCUCUCCAGCCUGGGGGACAGAGCGAGAUUCAUCUCAAAAAAGAAAAAGAAAAA
rnacentral:lncRNA from 1 species